GUGAUUCUGUAAAAAGGAAGGCAUGGUUGGGUAGCAGGCUGGCAUCUCUCAUCUGUACCUCCAGCCUACGCCUCCCUUGAAUUCCAGAACCAAAUACAUAAAUGUCCCCUAGGCAUCCCUGCCUGCCCCCUUUCUCUGAUAACCUGAAUCUGCAAAUUCCACAUUCCAGAACUAAACUCCUCACCCUCUCUAUUCCUCCAUUCCCAUUCGGAUGAAUUUCUACACCAGAUACCAGGGAACCAUUUUCAACCACUCCUUCGCAGUCUUCCCAACCACCCAAAUCUGUCAUCUCUCCUAGUAUCUCCGGCAUCUCUCCUCACCACCAUGAGUCCAGGCUCUCAGAUGUCUUCCACCAAUUCCACCACUAACUUUUUCCAGACAGCCUUUCUGCCUCCAGGCCCCUCAUCUCUAUUCCACUCUCCCAGCGCCUAGAGGAAUUUAUGUUCUCAAAGCAAAUCUCUCGUGGUGUGACUUCCAACAUUCCAAUGUCCCCCUUGGAGUAGAGAGCUCCACUACACUCCUUGGUCCAGCCCCAGCCCGCCGUACCCCUGAGGACCUUGCCACGCAUUUUAUGCUCGACUCCUAUGUGUCACCAUCCACGCCACCUUUUUCACUGCCUUGGCCUCUGCACUGUGAUCCCUCUGCACCCCCUCGCCUGACUCACUAGCUCUGCCUCAUCAUUCAGAUCUAGUUUUGUUCCCAUGCCCUCCCAGAAGCCUUUUCCAGACCCCUGAGCCAGCACUGCACAGUGGCUCUCACAGCCCCCCGUGUGAACUCCACCACAGCAGUGUAAAGUUCCUGAGUAUGGGUUCCCUGAGGGCGGGCUGCUCACUCCACCAAUACUGACUAUGGCCAAGAGCCCCACCUCAGGCAUGGGACGUGAGCAAACACCUGCUGAAGAAAGGGCCCGUCCAAACUCCAGGGAGAGGGGGACAGAUGCAGGGACUAGGCGUGUCCCACAUGAUCUAGGUCUCUUUGCCACAGCCCUGGCCUGCCUCCAGGGCUCCUUGUUACUUCCUAGAUAUAUCAGAUGCCCUGGUAGUCCUGUGUGUGGGCCAAGCCCUGCACCUGAAGGUCCCUCCUGCAUUUCCAGGACUCCUUGGGCUGCACUGCUGAACAGGGAAUAGCUAGGACUCUCUCAAGGAACCUUCCCACCCUCCUAAAACAAAUGAACAGGAUCCAGGGGAGCUCACAGAUGGAGAAGAAUGCUUCCUGGAAAAGUAGAAAAGAUGGUAUAGGAGACUGGCCUUAGGGAAUAAUAAUGAUAAUACAAAUAAAAUAGCUAAAAUUUAUUAAGCACUUACUAAAUGCCAGAGAUUGUACUGAGGGAUUGAUAAUUAUCUUAUUUACACCUUACAAAAACCCCAUAAGAUUCUAAUAUCUCCAUUUUAUAUACAAAGAAACUAAAGCACAGAAAGAUUAAGUAGCUUGCUCAAGGUCCCCACAGAGUCAGGGAGAUGGGAUUCAAACCUGGCAGACUGAUUCCAUGAUCAACUAAUAACUGUGUGAUUGACCAUGACUAUACUGGCUACACCCAGGAGGAGGUGGGGCUCCAGGCCAAGGGAACAGCAGAAACAGAGGCCAAGAGGCCCAAGAGCCCAGUCUGGCUAGAAGGCCCACAUGUAGGCAAAGUGCUACAGUAAGAAAGGAGAUGGCAUGCAAGAGGACCUCAAAUGCCACACCUGAAGGAGCUGAAGUUUAUCUCGUGGACAGCAGGAAGCUGCUGAGGAUGCUGGAAGAGUGGGGGUACGAACAGCUCAGGUUUCACAGAUGUACUCAAUCAGGAAGCAGAGGCUGGACUGAGGCGGGGGAAUCAUAAGGGACGUGGACUUUGGGCAAGGACAGUCUCCUGGGGGCACCUGUUCUGCAGUUUAGGGGAGACAAUUGGCUCAGGAAGCUUGAGAGCUUACAGGUGGCCUGUCAUUGCUGGAUGUGAGUGGUAAUGGGAGUGCAGGGAGGGUAGUGGUCCCAUUUCAUGGGCAAUACAACUUCAAUCUCUGGCCUUUUUCCUUUGGGGAGCUAGCAGCAACACAGAGCGUGACUCCUUAGUGGCUGUGUCCUUGUAUCAGGGACACUUAAAUCCAUCACCCUAGGGUCCAUGAUUCCCUCUGCCUUGCCUCUUUCCAGGGAUGCCAAGAAAGGCUCUGACUCUUUCCUCCUGGUACUGGCUGAUUCCCUGGGGGCUUCCAUUUAGCUCUCUGGCUCUGGAAGCCUUUACCAUCCCUUCCCUCCUCACAAGCCUCCGAACAGCAGGCUCCUUCCCUGGCAUUUUGCACAAUGCCAUAUGUGCCAUCCCCAUCUGGAUUACAGGUAAAUUCCUGAUAAGGAGACAAGGAUUUGUAGCUGUGCUCCCUUCCACUCCAAGGACUAAGCUGAGAAUUUGCCUAGUCCUAUAUAGUUAUGUCAAAGAUGGGGAAACUAAGGCCUGCAGCUGGGGGCAGCCUACACCAGAAUGGAGAACUAACUCCCAAACCCCAAAUCAGAGAACUAGAGCUGGAAUGGCAAAGAAGGAUGAGGCCAGGAGAGAAUGAAGCCAUUUCCCAUGCCAUCUCCAAGAGCUACAAGGCCCCACUGAAGGCCAAUAGCCAACUCCAGAGCCUACCUAUCCUGGAUGUGCUCAGCACACACCUGCCCUCCAAUCUUGGCUCUGGCGAAAUACCCAAGCCUCCAACCCCUGGUCCAGGCUGGCUGUGAGCUAUUCCUGAGUCCCUCCAGGGCAUGGGGUGGGGAGAUUCCUGGAGGAGCCAUGGCAUCCUACCAUUCCUUUUCCCUGAGUAGUAAAACAGAUCUAGGGCAAGAAAUAGAGAAAUCACGGGGACUGAUGGGCCCCAGUCUCAGCAGAUCCAGACCCAGUGGAGAGCUCUGCACAUGACUGAGCCAGUCUCCACCUCAUCAUAGAGAUCCCUGCCUACGGGUGCCUGUGCUCACACAGGUGGGACAGAAAUCCUGGCUCCCCCCAGCCUUGGGUGGGUUGUACCUUCAUGGAAGCCACUGGCUCUGCCCCCACCUCCCCCUCGGGCGCCAUCCCUGAUUAAUGAUCUUGUCUUUCUGAUUUAUGAGCAGCCCCUCCAGACGAGGGUGGGUGCCCCUUACAACCCCGCCCGCCCUGCUCAGCUGGAGUAGGAGAGAAUUAUUAAAUAAACAUCCAUACGUCAUUCCUCCCCACCACAAGCUGGUUGCGCAGAACCCAUACGGCCCGCUCCGGCGCUGACACGGAGCAGCUGCGGUGAUUCAUGGGCAGCCGGGCCCUGCGCCGCGGCCCAUACAUCAUGCCAGCAGCACUCGCGGCCCCGGCCGAGAUAAACUGAUCAACCACAACGGGCUGGAAUGAAUUUAUGACAACACAAAAUGGAGGGAAACAAAUGGGAGGUGACCCUGGGCCACCGACCCGGCCCUGCACCGGCCUCCAAUCCACUCUCCUGGCAGGAGGCAAAGAUGGAACACUGGCCCUGGAAUGAAGAGGCUGCCUUUUAACCCCAGGCAACCUAGCCUGCAGUCAGAAGGUGGGGUGGGUACUGGAGUUAAGCAAUGACCAAUGGCAGCAGCACCAGGCAGCCUAGACUGGACAAUGCCAUCUCCUGAGGCCAGAACUGGCCUUCCUUGGGCUUCUGGGAAGGCAGGAAGAUGCCCAGCUGAUACCAAAUCUUUGUGGUUCCCAGGGAUCCAGGCCAGGGGUUGCUCAGCCCUGGGCAAAGUGCUAAUGGAUCCCUUUUCCUCUGCCAGAGAACCCAGGCCAAAAAUUCCUACCAGAAGUGAUGAUACCCAAUGUUCCUGCCUAAAAUCCACUGCGAGUGCCACCCGGGACAAGAAAAAUGAAACCAAUUUAGCUCCCGAUUAAGAAACAGAAACUGGAGAUGAAUCAAGUGUGCCGGCUGGGCUGGGCGGCCAUACAUCACAUUCCCCGGGCGAAGGCCGCCGCAGCAGGCGGGCAGGCAGGCAGGCAGGCGGGUGGACUGCUCCUCCCACCGCCAAGGCUUCUGGGGCCGUGGCCCAGUGAUCAAUUCACAGAGUCACGCUUAGCACCAGCUGGGCUCCACUGCCGGCCGUGUGCCCAGGGCAGCAGCACUGAGCUGCACUUGGGAGGGCCAGAAGCCCUGGCAGCAGGCCUUCCUGCUAGCAAAGGGCCCCUCCUCCCACUGAACUGUGGUCCCAGGGCUCUCUCCUGGCCAAACACUUACUUCUCGAUGUCGCUGUUCUUGCAGGUCUUCUGCAUGGCCUCCUGCUUGCUGCUUUCACCAUUGCUGGUGGAUGGCAUCUCUGCUGGGACAGAGGGGCAACUCACACUCCGGCCAGACUGGGCAGCACAGGUGCUAACGCGGCUUGGCUGUCACCUUCAAUGCAUCACCCGAAGCUGAGAGCCCCCCUUCGUCACUCCUAGCUUGCAGCCUCACAAUUCCAUUUCCCCACCCAAAUACAUCCAUUUUAAUAUGCACAUCACAGGCAGGCAGCACGGUCACAAAGGAGCCCCACCAGCAGCAGUCCCCACGUGGUGGAACGGAUGGAUGACCAGCCACCAGCCUCGGCCUCUUGGCUUCCAGCAGAUGGAUACCCAGCAGAGGCCUGGCACCAGAGUGCCAAUGUCUACGUGUCAGCUGCUUGUACCUCGGAAGCCACCUUCCAGGAGAGUGGUGGCCCGUAUCCGCUUCUGUCCACACCACUCAUACUCCUCAAAGCGGUUGUUGUUCUCAUGCUCGAUGUCCACAGCAUCAUCCUCAGCCAUGCAGGAGCCUUCCCUCUGUGAAGAGCAGAGCAGGAUCAUGCUGGGCCCAGGCCAUCCCCACCUGCUCCCCACAGUCUGCAACGAAGGCACAGCUCUAGCCCCAGCUGUGGUGUGCCAAGUGGGCCCUCAGCUCUAGGGCUCCUUUGAAGCAAACCAAUUUAGAGGUCAAAGACCUGGGCCUCUUCCCAAUAGUUUUCCGCUGGAGCCCAAGGAGGGAAUGAGUGAGAGUGAAAGCAAAAGGAGAGAGCAGUGGUCAGAAGGGAAGAAGCUGCUGAGACCACAUGGAGACCCCAAGAGCCCACAGAUUCAGGGGCAGUCAGCAGCUAGUGUCGGGGGAAGGGAGCGGGGAAGGAAGGUGGGUGGUGAUGGCCCCUCUACCUUAGAAAGGCAAUGCUCCACAUGCCUACUCAUCUCCUGCUCCGAUCCUGCCAGGGGGCGGUUGCACAGGGGACAUACCUGCCCUUCAUCUUGCUUCCUCCGUUUCAUUUUCCCAAUCCGAGCUGCACGGGGAAACCGAAAACAAAGCACAGAACAAGCAGACGGUCACUGCAGCCCCCAGGGUCCCAGUGGAGCUGACACAUCCUGACCUCUUGCCAGCCAUUGGCCUUUUUAUUCAGUGCCUGAUCUGGCCCUCAUCUUGAAAUACCUCCUGCUCCUUUGGGGACUGGGCUUUGCCAAGAGCACCUGGGGAGGAGACUGGUGCUAACUAAGCCAGUGAGUAAGUCCACUCUUUGGCUGCAGCUGGUGCAAGGUCUACCCAUACCUUUCUAUUUGCAGUGUUUAAUAAAAAUCCAGUGAGCAAAGACA